UGAGGAAUAUUGGUCAAUGGACGGAAGUCUGAACCAGCCAAGUAGCGUGCAGGAAGACGGCCCUAUGGGUUGUAAACUGCUUUUGUAUGGGGAUAAAGUCAAUCACGUGUGAUUGUUUGCAGGUACCAUACGAAUAAGGACCGGCUAAUUCCGUGCCAGCAGCCGCGGUAAUACGGAAGGUUCGGGCGUUAUCCGGAUUUAUUGGGUUUAAAGGGAGCGUAGGCCGGAGAUUAAGUGUGUUGUGAAAUGUAGACGCUCAACGUCUGACUUGCAGCGCAUACUGGUUUCCUUGAGUACGCACAACGUUGGCGGAAUUCGUCGUGUAGCGGUGAAAUGCUUAGAUAUGACGAGGAACUCCGACUGCGAAGGCAGCUGACGGGAGCGCAACUGACGCUGAAGCUCGAAGGUGCGGGUAUCGAACAGGAUUAGAUACCCUGGUAGUCCGCACAGUAAACGAUGGAUGCCCGCUGUUGGUACCUAGUAUCAGCGGCUAAGCGAAAGCAUUAAGCAUCCCACCUGGGGAGUACGCCGGCAACGGUG
rnacentral:rRNA from 1 species